rnacentral:lncRNA from 1 species
ACAAUUCACAAUGCUCAUGAAACAACAACAUGAUGUAUAAAAAUGGUUAGGCCAUGAACGAACACAGUUAACCAUUAAUAAUCCAAUAUGCAGAAUGAUCAUGAACUCAAUGAAGUAUAAAAAAUUGCAUCCUCUAAACUCAGCACAAGCAAAGUGUAUUUGGAUAACUAUCGAUAACCGACAAAUGCAUAUCAAACAUAAGUAUAAAAUGGAAACAC